ACUUUUCUCCAACACUCAGCCCCUUGGGUUGUGGAAUAUGGACGCUCGUCAUGAAAUGGCUGAGCUCAAAGUAUUCCAUUCCCCUUCAAAUUUUCCAGACUUCGCAAUUCCCCCGUGGGGGGUUCCCUACGCUGAGGGCCUGGAGUCUCCUGAGCUUUGGAAAUUGCAUGUGCCCGGCUCACCUGCAGAGGCCGACUCGGGAUCUGAACAAAGGCCAGGCUUGAGACCCGCCAAGGGCUCCGACCAGGAACAGAGAGACCAGUGAUUUCAAAGAAAUAACCUGUGAUGACACUUGAAA